AGUGAACGCUGGCGGUAGGCCUAACACAUGCAAGUCGAACGGCAGCACAGGAGAGCUUGCUCUCUGGGUGGCGAGUGGCGGACGGGUGAGGAAUACAUCGGAACCUACCUUUUCGUGGGGGAUAACGUAGGGAAACUUACGCUAAUACCGCAUACGACCUACGGGUGAAAGCAGGGGAUCUUCGGACCUUGCGCGAUUGAAUGAGCCGAUGUCGGAUUCGCUAGUUGGCGGGGUAAAGGCCCACCAAGGCGACGAUCCGUAGCUGGUCUGAGAGGAUGAUCAGCCACACUGGAACUGAGACACGGUCCAGACUCCUACGGGAGGCAGCAGUGGGGAAUAUUGGACAAUGGGCGCAAGCCUGAUCCAGCCAUACCGCGUGGGUGAAGAAGGCCUUCGGGUUGUAAAGCCCUUUUGUUGGGAAAGAAAUCCAGCUGGUUAAUACCCGGUUGGGAUGACGGUACCCAAAGAAUAAGCACCGGCUAACUUCGUGCCAGCAGCCGCAGUAA
rnacentral:rRNA from 1 species